CGGCGGUAUUUUAGUCUAUUCAGAGGAACCUGUCCUAUAAUUGAUGGUCCACGAUUUAUUUUACUUAUUUUCUUAGUUUGCAUAUCGCCGUAGAUUGAAUAUUCUUUAAGGAGUAGAACGUUCAAGAGAUUUUUUUUGUGAAGGUAAAUCAGGUCAAGAUGUAGCAUAUAGAUAAGAAGAGAUGGGUUACAAUAAAUUUAUUUAAAACGAAUUAAUUAAUGAAAUUUAUUAUAAAGGUGGAUUUGAGGGUAAUUUUAUAAAAAUUUAUAAAAUGAUUCUAGCUCUAAAAUAUGUACAUAUCGCCCGUCGCUUUCAUUACAAAGUGAAAUAAGUCGUAACAAAGUAGAUGUACUGGAAAGUGUAUCUGGAAAGGUCAAAUUAGAGCUUGUUUAAGCAUUUUAGUUACAUUAAAAAGUUUUAUUGAUAAAUCAAUAUAGUUUGAAAUUGAAAAAAUUAUUAGGUUAUGUGAGUUUAAUUUUAUUUAAAAUAAAUAUAUUUAAUUUUUAUUAAUAAUUUUGAAUAAAUAUUUUUAAUUAUAGUUAAUUAGUAUUGUGAAAGAAUUUUUAUAAAUUUUUAAAAGAAGAAUUAAUUUUUUGUACCUUGUGUAUCAGGGUUUAUUAAAUAAUAAUUAAAAAUUUAAUUUUCUCGAAUUAAUAAGAGCUAUAAUUUUAUAACUUUUCUUGUAGCAUAAAGAUUGUUAAUAAGAUUAUUGAAGUGAAAUGCUAUUCGAUUAUUAAUAUAUCUAGUUUUUAAAGAAAAAAAUUUAAUUUUUUUAUUAAAUAAUUAUAAAAUUAAAUUUUUAAUUUUAUAAUAUUAAUGAAAAAUAUUUUAGGGGAUGAGCUUUAAAAUAAAUUUUUUUAAAAUUUUUAUGUUUUAUAAUUAAGUAGGAUUAUAAGUUUUUAUCUUUAAAAGUGUGUUAUUACUAUUUUAUGAAAAAAUAUUAUUUAUAUAUUAAUUUUAAAAUUUUUUAUUUAAAUAAAAAUUUUAUUUGAAAAAGUUUUGUAAUUAUGAUAAAAUUAGUAUAAUUUUAUGUUUUAUUUUAUUUAAAUAAAAGGUUAAAUAAAGGAAUUCGGCAAAUUUAUUUUUCACCUGUUUAUUAAAAACAUGGCCUUUUGAUUAUAAUUUAAGGUCUGACCUGCCCAAUGAGUUUUUAAAUGGCCGCGGUAUACUGACCGUGCAAAGGUAGCAUAAUCAUUAGUUUUUUAAUUGAAAGCUGGAAUGAAAGGUUGGAUGAGAAAAUAACUGUCUCUGUUUAAAUUUUUUAGAAUUUUAUCUUUAAGUAAAAAAGCUUAAAUGUGAAUAGAAGACGAGAAGACCCUAUAGAGUUUUAUUAAAGUUUUUUUAUAAAAGUAUAAGUAUUGAA
rnacentral:rRNA from 1 species